AAAAAUAAAUAAAUAAAUAAAGGAGAUGGUUCCCACAAAUCUAAUCAGCAAUAGACAAAAUUAUAAAAUUGAUUUAGUUUUAGACAGAACUUUAACCUUCCAAAAUGUCAAAAAUGUUAGAAAUGUGGGUCAGUCCACAAAUUUGAAACCCUAAACACUGCAAAAUAACAUAAUAAAGCAAGGGCCACAAAAUGCAUUUGUAAUUGUAAGGCCAAUAAAAUGAAAACAUGCAUAUAUGGUUUAUAAAAUCCUGUCCGGAUCAUGUACAAGUCUUCUAU
rnacentral:misc_RNA from 1 species